UACGGAGGGUGCAAGCGUUAUCCGGAUUCACUGGGUUAAAGGGUGCGUAGGCGGAUAUGUAAGUCCGUGGUGAAAUCUCUGGGCUUAACCCGGAAACUGCCAUGGAUACUAUGUGUCUUGAAUGUUGUUGAGGUGAGCGGAAUAUGUCAUGUAGCGGUGAAAUGCUUAGAUAUGACAUAGAACACCAAUUGCGAAGGCAGCUACAC
rnacentral:rRNA from 1 species